rnacentral:rRNA from 1 species
GGAAUCUUCGACAAUGGGCGCAAGCUUGAUCGAGCGACGCCGCGUGAGGGACGAAGGCCUUCGGGUCGUAAACCUCUAAAAUGGGGACGAACAAUGACGGUACCAAUUGAAAAGCACCGGCUAACUCCGUGCCAGCCGCCGCGGUAAUACGGAGGGUGCAAGCGUUAUCCGGAAUCACUGGGCGUAAAGGGCGUGUAGGUGGUCUUUCAAGUCCGAUGUCAAAUCCCGGGGCUCAACCCCGGCUCGGCGUUGGAUACUGAUUGGCUUGACGACUGGAGAGGUGAGUGGAAUUACCAGUGUAGCGGUGGAAUGCGUAGAUACUGGUAGGAACACCUAUUGCGAAGGCAGCUCACUGGACAGUCCGUGACACUGAGACGCGAAAGUGUGGGGAGCAAAC